ACUAAAGCAAGGAUUGUUCAAGUUAGUUGAAAAUAGACCGUCUCUGGUUAAAUUAGUUCUACACCAAGCCUUUAGGUGGCAGUAAAACUAAUUGGCACAAUGCGAAUUCCACACACAAGCCACAAAGAAGCCAUCAGCCGCGGUCAACAUCACCUUCCUGAUUGAACAGAACCACGCGUUGUCUGUGUGGUUUACAAGUUUCUUGGCGAUAUGGGGGAAAAGUUCCUCACAUACCAACGGAAAAUGGGCGUCAUAUACAUGCAGUCACACAGGGGUUCCAAGACCCACCGGCGUAAAAUCAAGUCAAAGGCUGCUGUCUCAUAAUAUGGCGAAGACGAGUCACCUGAAGGCCUAACUCGCCAUAGAAGACUGAAAGAAUUGUCCUGCAGGAUGCUGUGUCCUGCAAUCCUGUGUACUGUGCUACAGACGCAUGUGGAGGUCAACCCAAAAUGGGCACAGUCUCACCGCAGAAGAGUGAAAGAGGAUCCUGGCAGGGAGAUGGUAGUGUCCUGCAGAAUGGUGAUGGGCCAAUCUUACAAGAGACCACAGAAAACUGAUAUAGUGAACUAUAGAAACAACAGUGCCUGCUGCAGUAUAAUGAGGACACCCUGAGCAGAGAGCUCCAAUAGACCCAGGUCCAGUGUCUUGGCAGGGUGAAAUGGCACUGAUAUGGUGUCCUGCAGGAUGCUGUGUCCUGCAAUCCUGUGUGCUGUGCUACAGACGCGUGUGGAGGUCAACCCAAAAUGGGCACAGUCUCACCACAGAAGAGUGAAAGAGGCUUUAAAACUUAAGGCCACCGCUAUGGAGGGAGCGGCUGCAACCGCCACCAGCGCAGCAGCUGCCCAACAAGCUCGACCCUCCGAUUCCUCCACCUCCAGCUCCUCCACCUCCUCUUCAAGUGACUCGGAGCCAGAGAGGAAGAGAAAGAAGAGGAACAAGAGAGACAGGAAAAAGAGAGAGAAGAAGAGGAUGGAGAAGAAGCAGAAGAAGAAGAGGAAGAAGGACACAAGCACAGACAGACAGAAGGAGAGAACUUGCGAACACUUGCACCCUAUUGCGGAGCUCGCCUUCAGUAUCACCGCGGAAGGGCCUCUGCUACAUGGCGAAGAAAAAAAUAGGUCUUUGGCAUUUUAGGGAUAAGAAACGAGCGGAGGUGUCCCAUCCUGUGGCUGGUGAGGAGAAGAGGACGGGAGAAUCUUAUCCCAAUUGUGGUCAAGCAUGUGCGUCCAGGAGCCACCCUGAUCAGUGAUGAGUGGCGAGCAUACAGAGGCGCAUUAGCUGCCAUUGGCUACACUCACUUCACUGUUAGCCAUUCAAGAUGGUUUGUUGAUCCAAACAGUGGGGCCCAUACACAGCACCUUGAGAGGGGUUACUGCCACACUUAUUGUGUGUGUGUGUGUGUGUGUGUGUGUGUGUGUGUGUGUGUGUGUGUGUGUGUGUGUUACAAUAUGUGAAGGCCUAUGACU